AUGUAUCGGCGAAUAAUGCGUGCAGAUCCCAGUAAGGUGGCUUUCUGCAUCUGGCAGGUGGUAAUUUUGUCAGUGCCAAUUGUGUUUAAGUGCAGGCCUAGGUCUUUAAGCACUGCACCCAGUGUGCCAAUCACCACUGGGACCACCUUGACUGGCUUGUACCAGAGUCUUUGCAAUUUGAUCUUUAAAUCCUCAUAUCUUGUCAGCUUUCUAUGCCGCCAGGUCUUAGUUCUCCAUGCUACUUUCAUGUAGAUUAGUGUGUGCGUGCGUGUACACACACACGCGCACACACACACACACACAGACACAAAACAAGCAAGCUUCCUAGCCUAAAGUGACCCUCAAGGAGUUGAGGGAUUUAGGAAAUUGGUUCCGAGUCCAUUUAGACUAGCCUACCCUGUUUUCACAGAGAAGAGCAACGGAAAUGACAUUUAAUGCUGGGCUAGGAACACUAGAAUGUUUUCUAUUUCUUUGAAUAUCAUGCCUGGUAGCAGCACUCUGCCAGCAAGCAGCUUAAUGCCACUGAAAAUAUUGGAAUGUUAAGGCAUUUCUUCUGGGCGUUCUUUGCAUUCGCUUUUAUUGCCACCAUAAUUUUGCUCCUUUACUAGGCUGUCAUGAAAGAGCUUGUGGAAGAGUGAUACAACAAACAAACCACAAAGCAAUUUCUGUUAACAGUGACAGCUGUAACUAGAAGGAAAAGUCAGAUCUAGGGACUGAAGGAGUAACGAAGAUUUAGCUGUUUAUCUGAAUGUGUGGCAUAGUGGAUUGAGACAAGGAUUUGAAUCAUUACUCAACCAUGGAAACCCACAGGUUAUUUCAACCUAGAGGAAGACAAAGACAAACCCCACUCAGAACAAAUCCUGUGGUAGGGCCGUAGAGGCAACAUAAUUAGAAAAAGGUAGAUAACAACAAAAUUAUAGACUAAUGGUUCAAUUUUCUUGUGCAUGGCUACUCUGGCAAGGCACAAGCUAGGGCACAAAGAUAAAUAUGCAAAACAGUAUCUUCAUGGCUUUUCACACACAUUUAAUUAGCUCAUAAUUAAGGAGACUAUGUUUCUCACUUUUAUGUAAACACUUUUAACAAUGCCAGAAAGCAAACACACAUCCCUUUCAGCCAUGUUUUCAGAAUGCUUACCUAUUCAUGAAACACUGUUCUCAUUCUGCAUUGACUUCAUUUGCCCCAAAUACUGUCUAAUAAUAAUAGUAAUAAUAAUAAUAAUAAUAAUAAUAAUAAUAAUAAUAAUAAUAAGCAAAGAACUGGUGGGAUCACAAACCUGCAAAAGUAUUGGAAAAUGAGCACGCAAAGAUACUGUGGGACUUCCGAAUCCAGACUGACAAAGUUCUGGAACACAACACACCAGACAUCACAGUUGUGGAAAAGAACAAGGUUUGGAUCAUUGAUGUUGCCAUCCCAGGUGACAGUCGCAUAGAUGAAAAACAACAGGAAAAACUCAGCCGCUAUCAGGACCUCAAGAUUGAACUUCAAAGACUCUGGCAGAAACCAGUACAGGUGGUCCCGGUGGUGAUGGGCACACUGGGUGCUGUGCCAAAAGAUCUCAGCCGGCAUUUGGAAACAAUAGACAUUGACAAAAUCACCAUCUGCCAACUGCAAAAGGCCACCCUACUGGGAUCUGCACACAUCAUCAGAAAAUACAUCACACAGUCCUAGACACUUGGGAAGUGUUCGACUUGUGGUUUUGCGAAACGAAAUCCAGCAUAUCUAUCUUGUUUGCUGUGCCAUACAACGUUGUUGUGUUGAUAAUAAUAAUAAUAAUUGAUGUUGACUGGCUAUAUCUGCCCAGAAGAUCGGAGGCAGAGGACUCUUACAAGUAAAACAAGCAGUCAAAGAAGAAGAACAUGCCCUGGCAGAAUAUGUAAAGCAAAAUGAAGAACCUGCUUUGAUUGAAGUAAAAAAUCAGAAACUCCUCAAAGUACAGCAGACAAAAAACCAGUACAAGAAAACCGCACAACAAACUAGAGCUGACAGCUGGCACAACCAAACAUUGCAUGGAAAGUUCCUUGACAAAAUCGAAGGAAAAGCUGAUAAGGAGAAGACCUGGCUAUGACUUAUGGAUGGGACCCUGAAGAAGGAGACAGAAGGCCUGAUCCUUGCAGCCCAGGAGCAAGCCAUCAGGACAAAUGCAAUCAAGGCCAAGAUCGAAAAAUCAGCUGAUGACCCAAAAUGCAGACUGUGCAAGGAAACCGACAAAACCAUUGAUCACAUCAGAUCUGCACGCAUCAUCCGAAAAUACAUCACACAGUCCUAGACACUUGGGAAGUGUUUGACUUGUGAUUUCGUGAUACGAAAUCCAGCAUAUCUAUCUUGUUUGCUGUGUCAUACAAAUAAUAAUAAUAAUAAUAAUAAUAAUAAUAAUAAUAAUAAUAAUAAAUAAAAUUAAUAAUAAUAAU
ensembl:lncRNA